GGCAACGAGCGAGACCCCUCCCCCUAGUUGCCCUCCAUACUCUCAGGAGUGGCGGGGACAAUUGGGGGGACGCCCGCCGCAAAGCGGAGGAAGGAA
rnacentral:rRNA from 1 species